rnacentral:rRNA from 1 species
AAUGAACGUUGGCGGCGUGGAUUAGGCAUGCAAGUCGAGCGAGGAGAGUUUGGUAGCUUGCUAUUGAACUCGGAAAGCGGCGAAAGGGAGAGUAACGCGUAGUUACGUGCCCCAGGGUUCGGAAUAGCCACGGGAAACUGUGGGUAAUGCCGAAUAACAUCUCCGGAUCAAAGGUGUGAUUCCGCCCUGGGAGCGGACUGCGUCCUACUAGCUAGUUGGCGGGGUAAUGGCCCACCAAGGCAACAAUGGGUAGCGGGUGUGAGAGCAUGACCCGUCUCACUGGGACUGAGACACUGCCCAGACACCUACGGGUGGCUGCAGUCGAGAAUCUUCGGCAAUGGGCGAAAGCCUGACCGAGCGACGCCGCGUGCGGGAUGAAGGCCCUCGGGUUGUAAACCGCUGUCGUAGGGGAGGAAGGCUCCAUGAAGAAUGGGGUUUGACCUAUCCUAGGAGGAAGUACGGGCUAAGUUCGUGCCAGCCGCCGCGGUAA